rnacentral:rRNA from 1 species
AUUGAACGCUGGCGGCAGGCCUAACACAUGCAAGUCGAACGGCAGCACAGAAGAGCUUGCUCUUUGGGUGGCAAGUGGCGGACGGGUGAGUAAUGUCUGGGAAACUGCCCGAUGGAGGGGGAUAACUACUGGAAACGGUAGCUAAUACCGCAUAACGUCGCAAGACCAAAGUGGGGGACCUUCGGGCCUCACACCAUCGGAUGUGCCCAGAUGGGAUUAGCUAGUAGGUGGGGUAAUGGCUCACCUAGGCGACGAUCCCUAGCUGGUCUGGGAGGAUGACCAGCCACACUGGAACUGAGACACGGGCCAGACUCCUACGGGAGGCAGCAGUGGGGAAUAUUGCACAAUGGGCGCAAGCCUGAUGCAGCCAUGCCGCGUGUAUGAAGAAGGCCUUCGGGUUGUAAAGUACUUUCAGCGGGGAGGAAGGCGGUGAGGUUAAUAACCUUGCCGAUUGACGUUACCCGCAGAAGAAGCACCGGCUAACUCCGUGCCAGCAGCCGCAGUAAUAC